rnacentral:rRNA from 1 species
CAUGCAAGUCGAACGAGAGAGAAGGAGCUUGCUUCUUCGAUCGAGUGGCGAACGGGUGAGUAACGCGUGAGGAACCUGCCUCAAAGAGGGGGACAACAGUUGGAAACGACUGCUAAUACCGCAUAAGCCCACGGGUCAGCAUCGACCUGAGGGAAAAGGAGCAAUCCGCUUUGAGAUGGCCUCGCGUCCGAUUAGCUAGUUGGUGAGGUAACGGCCCACCAAGGCGACGAUCGGUAGCCGGACUGAGAGGUUGAACGGCCACAUUGGGACUGAGACACGGCCCAGACUCCUACGGGAGGCAGCAGUGGGGAAUAUUGCACAAUGGGGGAAACCCUGAUGCAGCGACGCCGCGUGGAGGAAGAAGGUCUUCGGAUUGUAAACUCCUGUUGUUGAGGAAGAUAAUGACGGUACUCAACAAGGAAGUGACGGCUAACUACGUGCCAGCAGCCGCGGUAAAACGUAGGUCACAAGCGUUGUCCGGAAUUACUGGGUGUAAAGGGAGCGCAGGCGGGAAGACAAGUUGGAAGUGAAAUCUAUGGGCUCAACCCAUAAACUGCUUUCAAAACUGUUUUUCUUGAGUAGUGCAGAGGUAGGCGGAAUUCCCGGUGUAGCGGUGGAAUGCGUAGAUAUCGGGAGGAACACCAGUGGCGAAGGCGGCCUACUGGGCACCAACUGACGCUGAGGCUCGAAAGUGUGGGUAGCAAACAGGAUUAGAUACCCUGGUAGUCCACACCGUAAACGAUGAUUACUAGGUGUUGGAGGAUUGACCCCUUCAGUGCCGCAGUUAACACAAUAAGUAAUCCACCUGGGGAGUACGACCGCAAGGUUGAAACUCAAAGGAAUUGACGGGG